UACGGAGGGAGCUAGCGUUGUUCGGAAUUACUGGGCGUAAAGCGCGCGUAGGCGGCUUUGUAAGUUAGAGGUGAAAGCCCGGGGCUCAACCCCGGAACUGCCUUUAAGACUGCAUCGCUUGAAUCCGGGAGAGGUGAGUGGAAUUCCGAGUGUAGAGGUGAAAUUCGUAGAUAUUCGGAAGAACACCGGUGGCGAAGGCGGCUCACUGGACCGGUAUUGACGCUGAUGUGCGAAAGCGUGGGGAGCAAACAGG
rnacentral:rRNA from 1 species